GUUUGUCAUUACGUCGUCUGAUCUUUUAAUUACCGAACGCGAGUUAUUCCCGAUUGUGACUGUUUUGCGGAGUGUAAAUUCGCAUUGCACAUGUCCCUGUACUCUUCUAUAUCCAAAAUUAUGUAUUUAGUUUUGAUGUUAUAUUUGUUAUUCUCAUCGGAUUUUGUCAAAUGUCUUAUCGUUUGUAGUUGUAAAUUUAAUUUUUUUUUUCUGUUGUAUUCGUGUGUUCUGGUAAAGAUAAUUAAUCACCCAGUUCAUUUAUUAGAUGUUAUUUUGGGUUUACAGUUUGAUUUAGAAGUAUUGAAUUAUAAACCUGGUACCUUUUGAUAGCUAUUAUUCGGCGAUUCUCUGUUCUAUAGGUUCUUCCAUUUAUUUGUAUUGUAGUCCUGUCAUGUAAUGUUGUCAUUUUAAUGAUAUAUUUAACAUUGCCAUAAAAGCGGAAGGUUUGGCUAGCCAACAAAACCAGGUUCAACCCACCAUAUUUUCCUUAAAAUGUCCUGUACCAAGUCAGAAAAAUGGCCAUUGUUAUAUUAUAG
rnacentral:lncRNA from 1 species